rnacentral:rRNA from 1 species
GACGAGCGCUGGCGGCGUGCUUAACACAUGCAAGUCGAACGGAAAGGCCUUUUCGGCGGUACUCGAGUGGCGAACGGGUGAGUAACACGUGGGUGAUCUGCCCUGCACUCUGGGAUAAGCCUGGGAAACUGGGUCUAAUACCGGAUAGGACCGCACUUUAGUGUGUGUGGUGGAAAGUUUUUUCGGUGUAGGAUGAGCCCGCGGCCUAUCAGCUUGUUGGUGGGGUAAUGGCCUACCAAGGCGGCGACGGGUAGCCGGACUGAGAGGUUGGUCGGCCACAUUGGGACUGAGAUACGGCCCAGACUCCUACGGGAGGCAGCAGUGGGGAAUAUUGCACAAUGGGCGCAAGCCUGAUGCAGCGACGCCGCGUGGGGGAUGACGGCCUUCGGGUUGUAAACUCCUUUCGCCAGGGACGAAGCGUUUUGUGACGGUACCUGGAGAAGAAGCACCGGCUAACUACGUG